rnacentral:tRNA from 1 species
GGGCCUAUAGCUCAAUGGUCAGAGCAGGGGACUCAUAAUCCCUUGGUUCUCGGUUCGAAUCCGAGUGGGCCCACCA